rnacentral:rRNA from 1 species
UACGUAGGGGGCAAGCGUUGUCCGGAAUCAUUGGGCGUAAAGAGCGCGUAGGCGGCCCAGUAAGUCCGCUCUGAAAGUCAGGGGCUCAACCCCUGGAUGCGGGUGGAUACUGCUGGGCUAGAGUCCGGAAGAGGCGAGUGGAAUUCCUGGUGUAGCGGUGAAAUGCGCAGAUAUCAGGAGGAACACCGAUGGCGAAGGCAGCUCGCUGGGACGGUACUGACACUGAGGCGCGAAAGCGUGGGGAGCAAACAGG